GGACCCCUAGCUCAGUGGUAGAGCGUGAGAUUCCAGCACUUGAUAAAUCAUGGCUAUUGUGAUGGCCUUAUAAUAUCCAUGGUUUGCAUUGGAGAUUCCUCAAGGUCGUCCGUUCAAUCCGGGCGGGGUUCA